GCUUCCUCAAGGCUCGCUCUGUUGGCCUGUCCUAGCUAGGAACCGUUCCGUCCCAUGCAUAUGAUCGAACGACAACUCUUUCUCCAGGUACGACUAAUCGCCACCGGAAUAUACUUCUCCUCUCGAUCGGUAUAAUAUAUAACACCGCAUCUCGCUCCUUGAUACUGUCAUAAAUUAGAUCGUCUUUCCAUGCAUCAUGAUCUAGCCAAGUCUCAGACUGUCACUGAAUAACAUUGAAAAUGCUUCGGUUCUUUAAUUUGGUCCGCACAGCUUUUACACUGUUACUGAUAUAUAGCUUCACUGGCGGUCUUCUUCUCGAUCGGUCGGUCGUUAUUUAACCUCUGGUUUGGUAGGUCAUUUGCUUUCAAAUAUUGAAUUUAUUUGUAAUUUUGUAUCUAUGCCUAAUGCAUGCGUACGUCAUGCCUGAAGUUUCUUUCUUUUCUGCUUGAGUGCUUGUACGUUAUUCUUAUUCCACGUGGAUUGGAUGAGAUUAGAAAAAAAAUUAUAAAAUAUUUUGAUUUAUUUGAGAUUAAAAUAUAUCUAAUUUUAUCUAAUUCAUAUGAAUUAAGAGCAAAACGAAUAAGCCCUAAUUCGACAUACAUAUGCAUGUGUCGGCGUGCGCGCGCCUAUGGGUCCCCAGAAACUCUUGCGGGAAAAAAUAUAUGUAUAUAUCUUGAAGCUUACGCACAGAAACAUGCAGCGUAUAUAUAUACAGCGUGCAUGCAGUAGUAGCUAACUAGCGUAUAUUUUCUUUUUUUUUUUUUCCUUGUUGGAAAGAGCUAGCUUUACUAGGUGCGUGUGGGCGUGGGCAAUAAUGGUAGUCGCAAAAACUUUAGCUUGGGCUGGUGUCGUCCUCGUUACGAAUCUUUCCGAUCAUGGAAAGAUCGCUUCCAAGAUUUUUCAUGGGCGCGCGGUAACUCUGUCUGUGCAAACCCAUGUGUGACUGUAUUGUUGCCGACACCCGUUAGGUACGGUGGAACCCAAGCACCAACUCAUGCAAAAGCUCCUCUAGCUUCUCUAUAUUCCCGUCUUUAUUUACCUCCAGGCUUCAAGGCUUCAGCAACGAUUGAUUUUUUUUUAAAAAAAAACUACCUCUGUUCCCACAAAUGUAUAUAUGAUAUAUGUUGUUGUAUGAGUCGGAUUUCAGUAAAUUUAGCCAAGUUUAAAAGAAAUGUAUUAAAAUCUAUAUAUAUACUAUGCAAAAAAAAUGCAACAUAUAUUCCAUGAUGGAUUUAGUGAAAAACCAUCUUGAUAUUAUAUAUAGAUGUUGGUGCAUUUUUCUAACUCGGGUCAAAUUUAAAGAAGUUUCAUCCAUGACAAAAAAAAAGUCCUGUAUUUUAGAAUAAUGGAUGAAAUAUAGUAGUAAUUAAGAGCGAGAGAUUUAAUGUGUCCAUGCCCUAAUUAUUACUCAAUCCUCAUAAUGGAAUUCGAUUUGGUGUGUGUCUCACUCUUUUCAAGAUUGUGCUAUUUGCAUAGGGGGUCAUCUAUAUACGUAUGUUGGUGCAUUUUUUUUCUAACAUUAAAAACUAAUGUUUUCAUGUGAAAUUGAAGAGAUUCUUGUGAAGUCUAUAAACAGCAGGAUCCUUUAUAUGUUCGACAUCGCAAUCCCCCCUGCGUUUUUCGUACUCACGCAUCUCGGCCGGCUCUUAUUACUACGUACAGCUAACGUCGUCGUCUGGCUCGGUUAGAUCAUGAUAAUGAUUAGGGAUGAAAACGGUCGGAAACGAUAUUUUUUCGGUAAUCAGUUUUUUAGUCGUUUUUCUUUGAUUGCGAAUAAAUAGAAUAUAGAAUCUACCAUACAAAUUUGUAUUCUUGUUUUUAACAUUCAGCUUAUAAAGAUUUAUAAAAGAUAAACCUUAAAUUCAUCCUAUAUUUUUUUAAAUAAUAGAUAUAAACUUCGGUAUGGAUUCGGAAACAAAUUCGGUAAUUUUUUCAACUAUUUAUGUUGUAGGGACCAAAUAACACAUAAAACAAUGUAUGUAAUAUUUUAUUCAUAUUUGUACUAAUGUGCUUGAUAACAUAGGAAAAGAUCAAUAUCAAAUUUUAUACAUAUCUAUUUUAAAAUAUUAAAUUUGUCCUAACAGUUCAGAUUAUCACUUUCAUCCCUAAUAAUGAUUGAUUCGACGCACAGUACGUAAAUCUUGCUAGUUAAAACAUAAAAUCAUGUAGUAGUUACUAGUCAUGCAACAUCAAAGAAUGCGACUUGACGAGAACAGUGGAAACAGUGCAUGCAAAAGUUGAUACAUAGCUUGAUCCAGUUUUUCCGCUCAACUUUUGACUCAGAAAAACUCGAGUGGAUGGAGAACGCAGUUCCGAAGGAGCUAUGAGGAUCUCAACUGUUCACACGAGCCUUUCCAAGUAAGGACGACGUCCCAUCUCGCCACAUGAUCUUUUCCAAGGUACCAUCACUUCAUCGUCCACACAACACAAAGCACUCUGGGUCGCAACAGUUUUCCAACAAAUACAAGAUUAGCUAGAGCGCGCCCAACCCUACCAAACAAGCGUUUGCCCACCGGGCCACCGGGCGCUGAGUCUUCAACGUUGCCUCCUACAUGGCCUCCGAAAAAAAAAUUAAAGUCC
rnacentral:lncRNA from 1 species